CGGACGGGUGAGUAAUGUCUGGGAAGCUGCCUGAUGGAGGGGGAUAACUACUGGAAACGGUAGCUAAUACCGCAUAAUGUCGCAAGACCAAAGAGGGGGACCUUCGGGCCUCUUGCCAUCGGAUGUGCCCAGAUGGGAUUAGCUUGUUGGUGGGGUAACGGCUCACCAAGGCGACGAUCCCUAGCUGGUCUGAGAGGAUGACCAGCCACACUGGAACUGAGACACGGUCCAGACUCCUACGGGAGGCAGCAGUGGGACUCCUACGGGAGGCAGCAGUGGGACUCCUACGGGAGGCAGCAGUGGGACAGUUGGCUCAGAACGAACGCUGGC
rnacentral:sRNA from 1 species